UCAUAUUAUCAAGCUAAUAGUUUUUGAUACAUAAAUGGAGAACUCUUAAUUUAGUUACCAUCACCUAUAAUCUAUUUUAUUGACCAAAACAGAGAAAACAAGAUAACCCAACAUAAUACUCCAACCAAAUCCUAUUAAAAAUAUAAUCAUUUCAGAUAUUUAAAACUAUAAAUUUACAUACCCAGAACAGGGAGCAGAAGAGUACCUAACACAUAUGUGCUCAAAAAGAAAAAAAGAAUAUCCAAUAUAACAACAUACAAAUACAACAUACAAACAAACAAAAAUAUUAUAAUUAUGUCAAACCUUGAGUUGAGUUUUCUAGCACAGAUGAAGGAGAAAGAUUGUGAUAGAACAAUAAAAAACUUUAGAAAAAUAGCAGCACACACAAGUGGAGAAGACACAAAGCUGCAGAAAGCCAGAAACAGAGGAGAGGAGAUUAGAAUUAGUUAAAAUUUGUGAAAAGAAGAAGGAGAUUGUCUUAGAAUAAUAAAAAGCUUCACAAAAUCAACCAACACAUACCCACAAUGAAGAACACACAAAAUUUCAGGAAACAGAAGACAAGAGCUCAGAAUUGAUUAGGAUUUAUAAAAAGAGAAGGAGAAAUUUGGAAUUUAAAAAAAUCAAUGAGGAUAAAAUUGUCCAAAAAAAAGGUUUUAGAUCUGUGUCCAUGGCUUCAAUUCCGUGUCUCACCAUUUGGAAGAGACACAAAAUACUCUUGUGUGUAACCAUAUCUCUCAUUUUUUUUGUGUCUCAUACAACAAACACUGAAUGUGUGUCACUGUGUCUAUGUCUUUGAUGGACAUGGACAAUAACCAAACGAGCCGCUAUGUACUAUAGAGACGAUGAUAAUAAUUGCUAUUGUUAACCUUCCAACUUUUUUUCUUCACCUAAUCUGAUAUUUAUGAAAAACCAUAUUGAAGUUGGCUGGAGAAUAAGGCGAACUCUAUAAAAAUAUAGAAAUUCGCCAAAGGGUCAUUAGAAAAAUAAUAUUGACGAGUGUUCAUAUCCGGGUCCAACAGAUAAAAGUCAGGCCCAAUAAAAAUAAAAGACUCAUCUUUUAAAGGUGGACCUUACUAUAAACUCAAUCUCUUUAAAGAGGUUAGGCAAAAAUAUAAAAGUCUAAAUCUAUUCAACUAAACAAGUAACUGCCUCUUUAAGCCUCUCUAACUGACUCUAUCACAUCUAGAAGGUAAAUCCCAAUAAAACCCCAAGAUAAAGAGAACACUUAUCUAUCCGAAAAAAUAGAACUACUCCAACAAACCGUGGUUAUCUAUUCUACUAGAACCCCAGGUAUAACACACGUUCUAUUCUAUUAAAAACCUGCUUAAAAUAUUGGUAAAGGAUUCGAUGGUUCCAAAAUAUUUGGACCAUUAAAUGGUCCAAGAAUAAAACAUGUUUUUUAAGUUUUUUUAAUAACUGCUAGAUAGUCAUUUUCUAAUUUUAAUUACAAAUUAACCCCAUAUAUUUUAUUUAAUCAUAAAAAUUAUUUUUUAUUUUAUAAAUUAUUAUUUUAUCAUUAAUCUAUUAUGUUUAUUAACAAUAAAAAAUAAAAACAAUAACGAAUUAGAUCUUCCAUUGAUCAUAACAAACUUUUUUGCUAUUCCAAUCGAUUAAAAGAUUAUAUUUGAUCCGUGACGUACGUCUAGGAUUGUGAAAUUGUGUUUCUUUGAAAAUCAAUCGAUUGGAUUAUCAAAACAAUCGAUUGAAUUUCAGGUUUCCCAUAACUCAAUCGAUUGGACUACAGGUUGUUAUCACAAAACAAUCGAUUGAAAAUUGCAAGGCAGCAUGCUUUUUGCAAAAAUCAAUCGAUUGGUCAUAUUACCCAAUCGAUUGAACGAUGACUAAAAUAUGGGUUUUUAAUAAUUCAAUCGAUUGCUUAUACUACCAAAUUGAUUGAAUGCUUCAAAACAACCUGAGGUCUCACAAUUCAAUCGAUUGGUUGUGUUACCCAAUCGAUUGAAGUCAUCAAAACAAUAUGGGUUUGCCGAAUUCAAUCGAUUGGUUGUGCUACCCAGUAAAUGGUACAUAUGGUACAUAAAAGACACAUAAAAUUGAUUAACCAUCACUAACAAUUCCUAAGCACAAAAAUCACAAGUCUAUUCAAAUACGUAAAAUAUAUUAUCAUUUAUUCAAAAGAGAGAAUGCAUAACCAAUUACCCUAAAGAAGACUGAAAGUUUGGAGUCCUAUUCAUUUAUGCAGUCAAUCACAUUCACAUGCUCAAGUGAAUAAGCUCAAGAAGACAAUGUUAUAAGAAUGCAAAAUUGACAUCACAGUUUUAAGAUCUGAAUAUAACUAAAACUAAAAGACGGACGGGACGCAAUUCUUAGUGGAUUAGGAUCAGCCUCAAUUCUUUCCAUUAAUAUCAAGUUCUAGAUAUGCAAUUGUGUAACACCCUAACCUUUAACACGUCAUGAUCGUACCAAAAGUAAGGAGUUACUAACCUGUUCUCCUUAUUUACUAUUUAAUAUUGAGCCUUUAGGUCGAUAUCGCGUUUCAGUUUAUAAAAAAAUACCAGAAAAUUAUUUAUAGUAAUUAAAAUCACACAAUUAUUAAUAAUAGUAAAUGCUAUACAAAUGAAUUCAAUAUAAAACUCAAAUACAAUACCUAUCCAUCUGGAUAAAAUAAAACUUAAAGCAACAAGGGUGAGGGAACUCUAUAAAAAUAACAGGAAUCACAAGUUAAUCUACUAGUCGUCUACAUCUUCUAACUGAAUCUUCGAACCUGUGUCACUGAAAGGGUGGAAGAUUUUGGGGUGAGAACAAACCACACGUUCUCAAUAGGGAAUAGGAAUGCCGUAAAAGUAAUGAAUUUAAUGCAAAUAAUUAACUUACUUAGUAAAACUAUUUUGUUAACCCUUUGGAAAUACUUUUAUUUCUACUUUAGAUAAAUAAUUACUUUUCUUUAAAUUUCUAAACUCAAAACAAAACUUAAAUAUAAAACUAGUCACAUUUUCUGUCUCUCAGCCACAUAGUUAAUCCUCAGUCAAAAGUCAACUCGUAAUCACUUUAAUACACUCACAAACAAAUACUACAAGGAAGAGAUUCAAUUUAAUGCACAAGCAAGUCACAACAAGACAAACAAUACAAUCACAAAGUAAUAAAAUAAGCAAGCGCAAUCAAAUGCAAAUGUGCAAACAACAUGAUGCAUGUCUAUCCCUAACGCAGGCUAUGAGCUCAUGUGUCGGUUGCCUACCCGCUCCCGACAUUACCAGGCACAAGUCCCAGAUAUGGCUUUUCAGAUGCAUCAGUGUGCUUAUAAGUCGUACGGCUAGGCCGCAUCAGUGUGACUUUCCAAAUCAAUAAGCGUACAUCUGGAAAACAGUUCUCAGUGUGUGGGCGUCCCCACUUUACAUUUGGCACUAAGGCCCAAACAAUGUCACAUCUCAAACAAUGUCACAUCUGCUCUCCUGUGGCAGACGCUUCAUUAAUUAAUAUAAUCCUUUAAUCUUUGUUCUCUGCUCUCCUGUGGCAGAGAUUCCUUUUUCUUAAAAAAAUAAGCUCAAAACAACACUUAGAACAAAAUCUCUCCUUACAAAAUUGGAUUUAAAACAUUAUGUUUUUCUUAAUAAAUCUAGUUUAAAAAUAGAAUACACCUUUUCUCAACUAAAUAAAUCUCAAAUAAUUUAAUUUUUCAAAACCAAAUCUUUUAAAAUAACUUUUCAAAUAAAACCUCAGAUUUUAUAAAAUUUCGGCAGCACUUCCCCUAAAACUCGGGGUUAGCCACCCUUUUUCGGGUCCCAACUGAACCAUUUUCAACCUCUUUUCAAUCGAGAAAUCAAGUACAUAUUCAUCAAAUUCAGUCACAUACACAACUCAAACUCAUCAUUCAGUCAUUUCAAACAAUCAUAAAUUAUUUACAAAUAUCCACUAGAUUUCCAUAGCAUUCAUAGUUUAAAAACAGUUAAUUUCAGAACAAAAUUCCUACCUUCAUACGAAAUCAAAAUAACAGAAGCUUCGAAGAAGCUUUCUGAUCGAGCUGCUGAAGGAGAAAGCGUCAGAAAUCGUCUGUGCUUCCUAAAACUCCAGUUAGCCGAACUCAAGGGGCAGGAGAGCUACGUCACCGUCGACUUCCACUGAUCAAAAGUGACGCUAAUACGUAGAGGAGAAGGAUACGAACACUUUUAUCGGAUUAGAUUUUUUAUUUGAUUUACGAAUCUCAAGAAAUUAAAACCGGAAGCUCGAAUGUUCUAUGGUUUCUCAAUCUCUCUCCCUUACGGCUUUUCCCUUUUUCUUUUCUCUCAAGUUCCAUUCGGUAAAGCAUGAAUGAAAGAAAUGGGAGUGAUUAAAGCUAAUGGGAAUGGAUGGAAAUUUG
rnacentral:lncRNA from 1 species